GCCAUGCUGCUUUGAGCACCUUCCCACAGUGUGAAGGGGGUUGGUGGCAAAGGAAAGAGGACAGAGAGGGAAGUUCCUUGGGAGCUCUCUGAAAUUAAAUGGGGGAGUCAGCAGUGAGCAUUUCCCCACGGGCCCUGACCUUGCUGGAGCUUGCUGGAGGCAGCAGAAGUCUCCUUGAAAAUGAUAUCUAGAGCUUUUAGGAAGCUACCUACCUCACGGCAUGAGAGACUUGCUUGUGCUGUACUCUCUUGUAGGAGCCAGCUCCACCUUGAUGCAGCCUGGACCCACUGUGGACAGGAGAUUGAAGGACUGCAUGGACAGAAGCUGAGCUGGUGGACAUGGGGAGAAGGAGGAAGAGCAAACUGUAGCAUCUCAAAUGUGGGGCAGAGGACCUAUGCUGGUACUGAGAAGCUGUCAACAACUAGAACAAUCUCUACAGGACAUGCAAUAGUUCAGGCACUUGAGUGGGCAAAGUGCAGGUAGAGCCUGGGCAUUCCUGGUGAUGGUUUCUCAACUCUGUUUCCCAAGUGUACAUCAAUUUCAACCU